rnacentral:rRNA from 1 species
AGUAAGGGCUUAAAUACCCCAAAGGCACCAUAUUGCAUCUGAUCCUUGAUGCUAAUCGGGGUCAGACCUGUUUAAUACUUGGAUGGGAGACCGCCAAAGCAUAGCAGGUGCUGUUGGUU